CCUACGGGCGGCUGCAGUGAGGAAUAUUGGUCAAUGGACGCAAGUCUGAACCAGCCAUGCCGCGUGCAGGAAGACGGCUCUAUGAGUUGUAAACUGCUUUUGUACGAGGGUAAACGCAUAUACGUGUAUCUGUCUGAAAGUAUCGUACGAAUAAGGAUCGGCUAACUCCGUGCCAGCAGCCGCGGUAAUACGGAGGAUUCAAGCGUUAUCCGGAUUUAUUGGGUUUAAAGGGUGCGUAGGUGGUCGGAUAAGUUAGCGGUGAAAUCUCGUGGCUCAACUUUGGAAUUGCCUUUGAUACUGGUCGACGAGAGAGUAUUUGCGGUAGGCGGAAUGUAUGGUGUAGCGGUGAAAUGCUUAGAGAUCAUACAGAACACCGAUUGCGAAGGCAGCUUACCAAGCUACUUCUGACGUUGAGGCACGAAAGCGUGGGGAGCAAACAGGAUUAGAUACCCUUGUAGUC
rnacentral:rRNA from 1 species